UGUAACUUUAUCUCCCACGCCUACGACCUGGUGAAGUGCCUGGCACAUAAUAGGCUCUCAAUGGAUCCUGCUGAGUGAAUAGAACAUGGAAUGAACACAGCUUCAUUCUCUCCUGCAUAUCCUUCUGUUCCCGCCCCCAGAAGCCUUGAAGACCAGGCUUAGGAAAGGGACUCCCCAGGAGCAGGGCUGAGAGGAGAAAAGGUCCCCUCUGCCAGCUCCCUGCAGUCUAGGACCAAGAGACUAAAUCAAACUUAGCACAGUAACCCCAGAGCAAGUCGAUUCAAGCCUCCAAUCCUUGGGGAUAGAAGAGAAAGAGGACAUGAUAACAGAGGCUACUUUACAGAGGAGCUGGAAGAACUAGAAGAGCUCAUUCCAUGACCACUUACCAGGUGCUCAGUUCAAGAAAGUGAAAAAAAAAAGUAUAAAAGAGACAUCAAGGUCAAGUUCAAAUGGCUGCUGGUCCUGCAGCCGUCUCCGUUUGCCAUCACACCACAGAAUCUCCUUCCUCUUUGGCCCCUGCAGUUUGCAGCAUAGCACGCACUCCAGGGAAGGAGGGCCAGGCCUCACUGUGCAAGUGUCAUCCACCCCUGCCCAGCCCCAAGGGGCAGCUCUGCUUGCUGGAGCAGCACUGGGAGCGCGUGCUGAGGAGACCUCAGGGCUGCCUUCAGUGCUCCCAACAGCACAGAAGAUAGCAGCCACUUCUCUGCCAUCCCCAACAGCUCCCUGAGGGACCCAAUGUGCUUUCUACAAUAAAUACUUCUCAAGUCAAAGCCUGUCUGCAAAGAUAAGUCUUUCAGUGA